rnacentral:lncRNA from 1 species
AGCCCUCGUGAGUGGCAUUAGGCUUGACUGACUUACAAAAAAUCUUAACCAACUGUGUUCAGCCCUUUUCCCUUUCUGCCCUCUGCCAUGUGAGGUCACAGUGUUCCUCCCUCCUGAGGAUGCAGUGUUCAUGAAAGCAAACACUGGGCCCUCACCAGGCAACAAACCUGCUGGUGCCUUCAUCUUGGACUUCCCAGCCUUCGGAACUAUGGAGCCCGCACUCUCCAGUUCAUCACCACCCCAGCAUCCCUACUCUUGCAUCUAACAGUUUCCGCUAUUUUGCACCACCUGCCUGGCCCUUAUGGGCAACUCAAGGAAGAAAGGAAAGAAGAGAUAGAGGAAAAAUGGAUUCAACAAAUGAAAGUGUUCUUUCUGACUACUGCUGUGUUUACAAACAUUUUAAUCAUCAAAACAUGCUUUAUUUGAUAGAAAGAUCAAAUCUGCCUUUGUAAAACAAGAGACUAUUUUAAUCAUUAAGACAACACACAUGUUUGAUUUGGAGGCGUGUUCUCAUUCAAAACCUUGCAAAAUAUAAUUUCUUCUUGUCUGGGAGAUGGUGUCUUUCUUCGGGGAGAACCUUGAGAGAAAUGUCUAUGAAUGUGUCUGUAGAUUGAGGAUAGGCCAACAAACAUAUUUUGAAAUAUUUUUUCUUUCUUUUAAAAAAAUAGAUACUUUUAAAAGAAAAUGCUUAUUUAAAUUACAUAGCUCUUUUUUUCACUCUCAGUCAUCAUUUGUGGUUUCAGUCAGUACUACAUUUAUUCCCCAGAGCUAGGAUUGCUGUGUUUUUAGAAAGGGAGCCUGUUUGAAGGGACUCUAUACUCUUGCAGUAAUUAAAAUCCUUUUAGGAGUCGUUAAGAAGCUCCACUGCGCUUUGUCCAUUGCAAGUUGAGAAGUGAGGCCCCAGCUGUCACAUACAGCUCCAUCACAAGAGGGAGCCCCAUUGCUAGUCCCCAUCCUCAAAGCCUCUGCGUGAUGUUGUCUACUGUUACUCUUCACUACCCUGUGGGAGCCAAAGCCCUGGACAUAAGAACAGAAGGCAAGCAGUGGUGGCUGAGAGGAAGAACUGACACCUUUGUGCUAUCAGAGCACUUUGCAGAGGAGCUGUUAGUGGCCCUGUAGGAGUCUGCUGGCCAUACAUCUGGGUGUCAAAUCAAGAGAGCAUGAGAAGUUGGACAGGAAAGGUCCAAGGCAAAAUGGUUACUAAAGGCCAUCCCUGAUCCUGACCCUAAAAGAAGAAAAGGCCCUUUGCUCUUGGCAUGCUUUUGCAGGAGUGUCUCAGUCUGUUUGGGCUGCUAUAACAUUGACUGGGUGAUCUGCCUGCCUGGCCUCCCAAAGUGCUGGGGUUACAGGUGUGAGCCGCUGCACCAGGCCUUGAGGUCAGGAGUUCGAGACCAGCCUGGCCAACAUGGUGAAACCUGUCUUUACUAAAAAUACAGAAAUUAGCCAGGCAUGGAGGCGCAUGCCUGUAAUCCCAGCUACUGGGGAGGCUGAGGCAGGAGAAUCGCUUGAACCCAGAAGGUGGAGGUUGCGGUGAGCCCAGAUAGUGCCAUUGCACUCUAGCCUGGCCAACAAGAGUGAAACUCUGUCUCAAAAAAUAAAUAAACAAACAAACAAACAACAAC